GAAUGUAGCUCAGUGGUAGAGUGUUUGCCUAGCAUAUGUAAGGCCCUGGGUUUGAUUCCCAGCACA
rnacentral:tRNA from 1 species